rnacentral:misc_RNA from 1 species
AUUGGAGGAUGCUUAUUUAGGACGCGAGUGAUGGAUGCCAAGUACACCAAAAGUGAACAAGUUUAUCCAUGUAUGAUGCAACAACUUCAGCAUAUAUUGGCGAUAGAUUUCUGUUUGAAUCAACAUCACCAGUCUCCAUUAUUAGACCUGAACUAUUGCUAUUGAUUGUUCCAGAUAAGAGAGUAGAUUUAAAAUGCUCGAUCAAUGCUUGGUCCAUGAAUAUUCAAUGUCCUUACAUGGAAUAUUCAAGCAAAUCUCCAUUGAUUUUUGCAAGGUGUUUGCUGUGGGUCGAGAUCAUCUAUGGGCUAGCAAGAAAUGGACAAAGGCCCGAGUACAAUGUGGGUAUAUACUAGAAGAAUUAGAAGAGCUGGAAGGAUGAAAGAAGAUUACAGAAACACGAUGGACGGCUCUGAAGAAGGGACACCUUGUGGCAGUAACAAAAUGGGGGAUUGUUAGGAUAAAAGAUCACCUUCACAUCCAUUUAUCUCUUUAGUUAUUCUAUUUCAUGUAGAUAACACAUAUUUGUUUACUUGUAUAUCUUUAUCUUGUACAAUCUGCUCAUAUAUAUGUUUUACCAUCUCUUAUACAACGAUACAAGCAAUGCAAUAUCACAUAUUUUACAUGGUAUUAGAGCAAUCUUCAAAAUCAUGAGUUCAUCUUCUAAUGCCUCUCUUCUCCAUUGUCGCCCACUACUUCCACUCAUCAUAUUUUCUCUGUUAAACUCACAACAAAGAGCUACCCGGCCAAGAACAUUCAGCUUUUACCCCUUCUCAAUUAACAAAAUCUGAAUGAAUUUAUUGGUGGCUCCUCUUCUCCCCCAUCCAAGACAAUUGCAAAUGCCUUUGCUACCGCUAAACAAAUUCCAAAUCCUGCCUAUGAAACUUGGUUCAACAAGGACCAGAUGCUUCUCACUUGACUUCUAUCUUCCCUCUCUAAAGAAGUGUUUCUUUAUAUAAUUGGCCUGACCUCUUCUUAUGAUGUAUGGCAUGCUUCGGCUAAUGCCUUUGGCUUCAUUUCUCAAAAUUGAUAAUUCUAACUUCACAUAGAACUUCAAGAGCUAAAGAAAAAUGAUAUGUCAGUGUUGGAUUAUUUGCAAUGUGCAAAAGCUUUGGUUGAUGAAUUGGGUGCCGCUGGACGUCCACUUUCCCCAGCGGAGUUCAACGCCAUAAUCUAUUGAAAUAUUGAUAGUGAUUAUCACUCUUAAUCACUGCUCUUUUAAUUUGCGCCCAGAUCCUAUCUCUUUUCAUGAAUUACAUGGACAACUUUUAGCACAUGAAGUCCUUAAAAACUCUCAUGAGUGAUAAUCAUUUUAUGAAGGAAUGAACAGUUUGGAAUUAACUAACCAAAAAUGAAAUUUACAAUAACAGAAACUGAAUGAAUUAACACCACCACAGGUUAGUUAACAAGAUUUCACAGUGAGCAGUAGGCAACUUCAAAUUGGCUAAUCCACACAAUAGUCAAAACCACAUUUAUAAUCAAAUUAAUUAUUGACACCUUAAAAUUUUCAGAGGAUAAUUUAAACCAAUUAAUUUGAAUCCAUCUAUUGAUUUGGAUCCCUGAAAUAACACAAGUCCAACAAAGGAAAUGUCAUGGAAGAUGUUAGCCACAACAAAAUUAAAAUUUUAAAGCAAUGAAGCAUACGCUUAACAAAGUUCUGUGAUGAUGGCAGAUUGUCCAAUCAGUGGUCAUUUGGCUUGAGCAAAAUUGGGCCUUGCACCAUUGGAAUCGAAACAGGAUCGAGGAAGAAGAGAGGUACGCCCGGAAUUCAAAGGAGAUGAGCCAAACUGAAAUGGGUCUCUGUUGAAAGCCAAAGGAGAAGAGGGAAUGGACGUGAGGAAGCGUCUAGGUGGGUCUCGAAGGGUUGUCUCCGCGCGCAUUAGCGAGGAGGAGCCGAGUGGAAUGGGUCAGAUAGUUUGAUGUGUCGAUGGGGCAUGCUCUGCCGGUGGAGGCAGAUAUGAGACAGAAAUCUCAAGCUGAUGGGGAAGAGGGAAAUGGUAAAACUCUAAAACUAAUGGUGGCAGAUUUUAAGAUUAAAA